rnacentral:sRNA from 1 species
UAGAGUGAGCUAUCCUACGGAAUACCCCGC